GGGUAUAUAGCUCAGUGGUAGAGAGCAUGCUUAGCAUGCAUGAGGUCCUGGGUUUGAUCCCCCAUACCUCCU
rnacentral:tRNA from 1 species